CCGUGCUAAGCGGGAAGGUAGCGGUGUCCUGUACUCGCAAUCCGCUAUAGCGAGGCCGAAUUCCCACCCAAGGUGGGGCGGUUUCAAGGUCUGCCUUGAGGGAUUGGUGUUGACACCCGGGUCCCGCACAAUGGGAACCCGUAAACCCUGUCAGGUCCGGAAGGAAGCAGCAGUAAGCGGUCAUUCCCGUGUGUUGCGGGACAGCCCGGGUCGAGCCAUGAACUCAAGUAACGCUUGGGGCCGCCUCAUCGACGGUGGGUGCACGG
rnacentral:SRP_RNA from 2 species